rnacentral:rRNA from 1 species
AGCAGUCGCCACGGUAAUACGUAGGUGGCAAGCGUUGUCCGGAAUUAUUGGGCGUAAAGGGCUCGCAGGCGGUUUCUUAAGUCUGAUGUGAAAGCCCCCGGCUCAACCGGGGAGGGUCAUUGGAAACUGGGAAACUUGAGUGCAGAAGAGGAGAGUGGAAUUCCACGUGUAGCGGUGAAAUGCGUAGAGAUGUGGAGGAACACCAGUGGCGAAGGCGACUCUCUGGUCUGUAACUGACGCUGAGGAGCGAAAGCGUGGGGAGCGAACAGGAUUAGAUACCCGCGUAGUCCCUGUCUCUUAUAC